rnacentral:rRNA from 1 species
UACGUAGGGCGCAAGCGUUGUCCGGAUUCACUGGGUGUAAAGGGUGCGUAGGCGGGAAGGCAAGUCAGAGGUGAAAUCUCACGGCUCAACCGUGAAACUGCCUUUGAUACUGCUUUUCUUGAGUUAGGGAGAGGUCGAUGGAAUUCCAGGUGUAGCGGUGAAAUGCGUAGAUAGUCUGGAAGAACACCGGUGGCGAAGGCGGUCGACUGGCCCUAAACUGACGCUGAGGCACGAAAGCGUGGGGAUCAAACAGGG